UUUUUUUGCACUGUCCUGCUACUUUAUCGUUAACUUCUGCUAAAAUAAAUCAAUCACUUAUUCGUUCUACUUUCUCUUACUUUUUGUCAACACAAUCUUUUUUCUCUCUCUAAAUCGUCCUUACCAACAACCAUACUGUCCUUCCAUCUGUCUUUACUUGGUAUUGCCACCUUGUCUCAAUCUCCCACACCUUCUUUUUCCUCAACGUUUUUUUUUCAUUCCACCUCACUGUUCAUCAUCUUCCUUCUUUAGCUCUUCCCAUCUUGGAACCAAUCUUCAUAUUUUCGCUGGGAUGGUCUUCCGAAUUGAAGGUUUGUGUUCUUUUAUUUUUUUUUUGCUUUUUAAUUCUUACAUCAAAUGCCUAACGUUUUUUCCCAUAGCAUAUAAUGUCUUCUCCACCACCAUUUGUGAAUCAAGAUCCAUCUCCCAUUCUGCAAGUUUCCCCCAACACGAAUUCGUUAUAUUUGUUACACCUCCUCCAUAUCGUUCACAUCAGUUUACAUAUAAUCAUUCCAACACAACAUGCAACGUUAAUUUGAAUUUUCAUUUCAAUUCCCCUCAAUGUCAAGCAAAUAUUAAUCUUACAGCUUGUAAUGUCGAAUUUUCGACGUCCUUGGAGCCUGAUACUCAAGGAAUUCAUAAAUUUGAUUCAGAUUUCGUCCAAUGCACCUCUGCUGAUAUUAGAGAUACUUCCACUAAUAUAAGUUGUGGAACUGCUAAAAAACCCGAAAAGUAUUCUGAAUUUAAUUAUUCAUCUCCUGGUCAAUAUCAGAUUGUGUUGUAUAGUUCUUCUAUUAUGUGUUACGCUACUAUGUAGUCUCUACUUCUACUAAUAUCAGUACUUAGACCAACAUCUAUUUUACCCGUUCCUAUAGUAUGUCGUAUAGUUAUGUUAUUACGUGUUUACGCUACUGUGUAGUGUGCUUCUGCUAAUAUCAGUACUUAGACCGACAUCUAUUCUACUCGUUCCUAUAGUAUGUCGUAUAGUUAUGCUAUUAUGUGUUUACGCUACUAUAUAGUGUUCUUCUGUUAAUAUCAGUAUUUAGAACGACAUUUAUUAAUUCUACCCGUUCUUAUAGUAUGUCAUAUAGUUCUGCUAUUAUGUGUUUACGCUAAUGUGUAAUGUCAUUCUGCUAAUAUCAGUACUUAGACCGACAUCCAUUCUCUCCAUUAAGCUACUAUGUUGUUUACUUCUGUUAUUAUGUUUUUACGCUACUAUAUAGUGUGCUUCUGCUAAUAUUAGUAAUUAGACGAAUAUCUAUUCUACUCAUUAUGCUACUAUGUUGUUAUUUUUGCUAUUAUAUUUUUACGUCACUGUCUAGUGUACUUCUGCUAAUAUCAAUGCUUCGACGAACAUCUCUUUUACCCAUUACGCUAUUAUGUUGUCUACCUCUGCUAUUAUAUUUUACGCUAGUAUAUAUUAUGCUUCUGCUAAUAUUAGUACUUAGACCAACAUCUAUUCUAUCCAUUUACGCUACUAUGUUGUCUACCUCUACUAUUAUGUUUUACACUACUAUCUAUUGUACUUCAUCUAAUAUUAGUACUUAGACGAACAUCUAUUCUACCCCUUAUGCUAUCAUGUUGUUUACUUCUGUUAUUAUAUUUUUACGCUACUGUAUAGUGUGUUUCUGCUAAUAUUAGUACUUAGACGAAUAUCUAUUCUACCCAUUACGCUACUACAUUAUCUACAUCUGCUAUUAUGAUUUACGCUACUGUCUAGUGUGCUUCUGCUAAUAUUAAUACUUCGACGAACAUCUCUUUUACCCAUUACGAUAUUAUGUUGUCUACCCCUACUAUUAUGUUUUAGCUAGUAUAUAUUGUGCUUCUGACAUAUAAAAGAUGGGUUCUUACCUGAUACAUAUUGUAAUUACUCUUUUCGAUUAAUCAAACCUUAAUUAUCUGCUAGACCUAUCCCAGAGAAGGAUCCUGACACUGUUGGAAAAUUCUGCUCUUUGGCACUUAUAGACAAAUCUUUUUUCAAGUGAUGUGCUGUCUCAGAAUCUCGAGAUCGAAUCUGGGUAUUCUAGAGAUGGACCGAUAGAAUCACUGAAAGCGAAAAAAGACGAAAACCCCCAUACUUUUUUUUUUAACGGGACGAAGAGACGAAUCCAACCGUGGCGAUAGAUUCUUGUCCCGGUCUAAGAGUUGGGUUGUGGGUAGUCUUAUUCAGCCAAAGCAAUGAAUGUAGACGAAGACCAAAUCGGCGAUUUGGCUAAGCGAAAUUCAGAAAUCGGCGAGUCCUUACGUUAAGUCGGUAAUUUCCUUAUGAAAUUCAACCAGAGCUUAACCAAGAAGAAUCGGCGAUUUUAACUGAAAAUCGACGAUUUUUAUGAGAAGCCGACAAUUUCCUUAGAAUUCCAACCGGGUUUGCUCAAAGAAAAAUCGGCGAUUCAGAAAAAUUCAACCUAAGCGAAGGUGAAAGUUUCAACGAGCGAAGAAACUAGCAAAAAUCGGCGAUUUAAGGUGAAAUCGACGAUUUUAUACUCUGGGGGUUUUUUGUAGAGCUUCAUGGACAGCACUCUUAGAGGGCAGACGAUUCCCAAAUCGAUGAUUCUAGGGGUGAAGUCGGUGAUUUCGGACAAGAAUCAGUGAUUUUUUCAGUUGACAGAGUCAGCGAUCUCUUGGAAAGAGUUCAAGCCAGACUUAGGCAAAGAAAAAUCGGCGAUUAGGACGGGGAUAUCGGUGGUUCGAUGGUCCCACAAACGGCGUCAGCUGAUGAAGCACGGGAAAUGCUACCAGGGGCUCGCGGUGGUGCGAGGUGAUGCCAGAGGCUCUGGAGUCUACGACGCGUGCUCUACGUCAAAUCCUGGAGGAGGAGAAUGGGCGAUUCUGGUGUGGGAAUUGGCGAUUCUCUCUAUGUAUGCUCUAGUUAUGUGGAACUUGUUAUCUGCCUUGGAGUGUCCCCUUGGGACCCCUUUUAUAGGGUCGUCUUUGGGGGCGCCCUCCGCCGCAGGCAUCACGCCUGGGUCAUAAUGACGCGCAUUAAUGGGCCAUUAUCACACGGGCUGGCGACGAGUAACGGUCGUAAAUCGGCGAUUCAGGUAGGGAAUCAGCGAAUUAGGGGCAAAGUCGGCGAGCUCUAAGGGACGGGAUCUGCAGCCCACCAAUGCUGAUUAUCUUGGCCUCAACUCGGCGAUUUACCACUAAUACCGGCGAUUUGGUAGCCCAAUCGACAAUCUUACGGGAAACUCGGCGAUUUGACGAUGAUCUUUGUUCCGCAAUCGUGGGAGCCUUCCGAGGGUCCGGCAUAAAGCGAAUGGAACCCUAGUCCUUGUUGAGGGGCGUUGCUGAAAGUGACUGACGUAAUCAGGCAUGUAUCAGGGAUAAGGUAAAUAACCUUCUAGGUGAGUCGAAUUUGAAACGGCAUAAUUAGUGAAAGCAGUUAAGCUUUCACCGUAUUUUUUCAAAAACCGAUCUAAACUCAUCCAUGCUUUAUCGGGUACUUUUAUUAUGUUUGAUAUUAUCCUAAAAAAUUAAAUUUUUAUCAAAUAAUUAACUAGAUAAAAUUUAAUUGACUAUUACAAUAUAGUUCAAUUAAUAUGAAGUUCAUUUUCGGAUAAUCUAGCUAGGGUGUAAUUAUUAACUAAUCCGAAUCGGUUUCAUAAAUAACUUUCUUCGGAGUUGCUGGUUGCAGAACGGGAGGGGCCGGUGCUGGACGAGCAGGUGUCGGCGGUGCGGGAGGGGCCGGUGCUGGACGAACAAGUGCCUGUGCUGGACGUACAGGUGUCGGUGUAGAAUGAACCGGGAGAUAAAACCGGAAAGCAUAUUGAGG
rnacentral:lncRNA from 1 species